rnacentral:rRNA from 1 species
UACAGAGGUCUCAAGCGUUGUCCGGAAUCAUUGGGCGUAAAGCGCGUGUAGGCGGCCCGGUAAGUCCGCUGUGAAAGUCCAGGGCUCAACCCUGGGAUGCCGGUGGAUACUGUCGGGCUCGAGUCCGGAAGAGGCGAGUGGAAUUCCUGGUGUAGCGGUGAAAUGCGCAGAUAUCAGGAGGAACACCAAUGGCGAAGGCAGCUCGCUGGGACGUGACUGACGCUGAGACGCGAAAGCGUGGGGAGCAAACAGG